rnacentral:rRNA from 1 species
CCCUUAGAUGUUAUGGGCCGCACGCGCGCUACACUGAGCCCUUCAUCGAGUUUACAACCUUGGCCGGUAGGUCUGGGUAAUCUUCUCAAAGGGGCUCGUGCUGGGGAUAGAUUAUUGUAAUUUUUAAUCUUCAACGAGGAAUUCCUAGUAAACGCAAGUCAACAGCUUGCAUUGAUUACGUCCCUGCCCUUUGUACACACCGCCCGUCGCUACUACCGAUUGAAUGGCUUAGUGAGCCCGAGGGACUGUUGCACCUAGAGGGUUUUCUCUCCAGGAGCAGCCGGGAACUCGGUCAAACUUGAUCAUUUAGAGGAAGUAAAAGUCGUAACA